rnacentral:rRNA from 1 species
CCCGCUGAACUUAAGCAUAUCAAUAAGCGGAGGAAAAGAAACCAACAGGGAUUGCCCCAGUAACGGCGAGUGAAGCGGCAACAGCUCAAAUUUGAAAUCUGGCCCCAGGCCCGAGUUGUAAUUUGCAGAGGAUGCUUUUGGCGCGGUGCCUUCCGAGUUCCCUGGAACGGGACGCCAUAGAGGGUGAGAGCCCCGUACGGUUGGACACCAAGUCUUUGUAAAGCUCCUUCGACGAGUCGAGUAGUUUGGGAAUGCUGCUCAAAAUGGGAGGUAUAUUUCUUCUAAAGCUAAAUAUUGGC